rnacentral:lncRNA from 1 species
GGUCGGUUGCUGGCUGCGGAGCGAGCUCCACAGUGAGUCCGUUCCCCUUCACAGCAUCCAAGGAUGUCAGAGCUUGGAUCCAGGGGCCGCCUGUGGCUCCAGAGCCCCACCGGUGGGCCACCCCCUAUAUUCCUGCCGUCGGAUGGCCAAGCCCUGGUUCUCGGUCGGGGACCCCUUACCCAAGUGAUGGACCGGAAGUGCUCCCGAAACCAAGGUGGGCACGGGAGUGGAACUGAGGCAGUGAGUGGGAUUGGAAGCUGGGGAACUUAUGCCUAACCAGGAGCAAUACGAGGCAUAACGGGAGGGACAAAGCAGAUCUGGGAUUGUCACCGGGAGGGAAGAGGAUACAAGAGAGAGAAGGUCGCUGAGCAGGAUACAUCAGGCCGUGAUGCAUCGGGCCAUGU